rnacentral:misc_RNA from 1 species
GAUGAAGAACGUAGCGAAAUGCGAUAAGUAAUGUGAAUUGCAGAAUUCAGUGAAUCAUCGAAUCUUUGAACGCACAUUGCGCCCCUUGGUAUUCCGGGGGGCAUGCCUGUUCGAGCGUCAUUAUAACCCCUCAAGCUCAGCUUGGUGUUGGGGCCUGCCGACUGGCAGCCCUUAAAAUCAGUGGCGGCGCCAUCUGGCUCUAAGCGUAGUAAUUUCUCUCGCUAUAGAGUCCCGGUGGAUGCUUGCCAGCAACCCCCAACUUUCUAUGGUUGACCUCGGAUCAGGUAGGGAUACCCGCUGAACUUAAGCAUAUCAAUAAGCGAGGA